rnacentral:piRNA from 1 species
UACUGCUUAGUUUUUGAGGGCGAAAGUUUU